UCCCUCUUUCUCCCUCUUUUUUCUUAUUCAUUGGGCGUAAAGGGUGCGUAGGCGGCGCGGUAAGUCGGGUGUGAAAUCUCGGAGCUUAACUCCGAAACUGCAUUCGAUACUGCCGUGCUUGAGGACUGGAGAGGAGACUGGAAUUUACGGUGUAGCGGUGAAAUGCGUAGAUAUCGUAAGGAAGACCAGUGGCGAAGGCGGGUCUCUGGACAGUUCCUGACGCUGAGGCACGAAGGUCAGUGGAGCAAACGGG
rnacentral:rRNA from 1 species